rnacentral:rRNA from 1 species
UACAGCGGUCUCAAGCGUUGUUCGGAUUCAUUGGGCGUAAAGGGUGCGUAGGUGGCGCCGUAAGUCAGGUGUGAAAUCUCGGGGCUCAACCCCGAAACUGCACUUGAUACUGCGGUGCUCGAGUACUGGAGAGGAGAUUGGAAUUUACGGUGUAGCAGUGAAAUGCGUAGAUAUCAAGAGGAACACCUGAGGCGAAGGCGGGUUGCUAGGCUGAUACUGACGCUGAGUGCGCGAAAGCUAGGGUAGCAAACGGG